GGUCUUUAAGUCUUAAGCCUUGCGCCUUAUAUUAGAUCUGUUCGGGCUUGCCCGGACUAUGACGAUAAACGGCUGCGCAAUAAGCGGACUGGACCCGGGGGCGGUACCCGGCGCCUCCACCACAUGCCCAUCAGGCUUAAAGCCUGACAUUUCGGGUGGGUAUCUGUGGGGGCGAAACAGGAUCGACAGACGUGUAAAGGCUGACCUUUCGUCCGGUAUGGUAUCCGCCGUUAUCGGGCUGAUCGUACAGGUGCCAACGACAACGAAAUGGCCCUCGCUGCCUAAUAGGUAAGCGCGGUUCGGGGAGCACCGGGCAACAGAAGCUCCCCACU
rnacentral:tmRNA from 1 species